rnacentral:sRNA from 1 species
AACACUUUCCACCUCCUCAAUCUAUGUAUAUCCAAAUGUCCCUUUUGUCUCGUUUUCCUUAUGUCACAAAGAAUGGAGUGCCCCAUUCUAUUUUCUGCCGCUCAAUAAAUCAAAUUUCCGAAAAUAUUGCCUGUUCGUGCCCAAAGGCUGAAAAACAACUUGCUACCACAGACUUAGAGGCUGGUGGUUAACGAACAUGGUGAAAUACAACGGAAAUUCGAACUCCCCUUUCCAUCUCCCGUUACCUCCUGCAGUAUGGCUAGCACACGACGCCAUCUUCCAUUCUCCAUCCCCAACGGGGGAGAGGGGACGCCCUCUUCUCAGUUUAGCUCAGGCCACAACGAGACUCUCUUUCAUGUGAAGUUGGGACAAUAUCCGCCCCUGUACAAUCAAUUUUGUUAAAAACGAGCAACAAGGGAACUGGCAAAGAAAAAUGAAGGAAAAAGAAGAAAGAGAAAGAAAGAGAAACACUUCCAGUAUUAAAUGUGAAAUUGGAGUUGACAAUUUGGGAAUCAGAUCUUAAAAAGGGAAGGCAGAAUUGAAAAUACGCUCCACCAUCUCCAACGUCCAACCACCUCUAUAAAACGUACGGUUAACUCAUAAUAUGUGCGAGAGGAUAUUCCCCCCUCUUCGCAACAUGCAGAACCAAACGGGGCUGACUCUAUCCCAGCUGGUAUUUCCAUGCAUCUGCCGGAACGAACCCUUUAAUCCCGAAUAUGAUGCUAAAGAGGCAGGGGGUUGCGAUUCCAAAAUCUCGGCCGUGAAACAUAUUCACGCUGUCGUUUACUUUGCGAGAAUAUCAAAUUCGAAACAUAUGCAAUAUGUCUUUUCUUACCGGAAAAAGAGUGUGGGGAUUGGCCGGAGAAUAUCAGAAGAGAUACGUGGAUGGCGUGGAUUGCUUCCACUCAGCAGUGGGCGCUCUACUCUCUAUUCUCUCCUUAUGGAAAACAUAAAACUCGG